GACGGAGGAUGCAAGCGUUAUCCGGAAUUAUUGGGCGUAAAGCGUCCGCAGGUGGCCUAUCAAGUCUGCUGUCAAAGACCGGGGCUUAACCCCAGAAAGGCAGUGGAAACUGAAAGGCUAGAGGAUGGUAGGGGCAGAGGGAAUUCCCAGUGUAGCGGUGAAAUGCGUAGAGAUUGGGAAGAACACCGGUGGCGAAAGCGCUCUGCUGGGCCAUGACUGACACUCAGGGACGAAAGCUAGGGGAGCGAACGGG
rnacentral:rRNA from 1 species